GAUGAACGCUGGCGGCGUGCCUAAUACAUGCAAGUCGAGCGAACGGACGAGAAGCUUGCUUCUCUGAUGUUAGCGGCGGACGGGUGAGUAACACGUGGAUAACCUACCUAUAAGACUGGGAUAACUUCGGGAAACCGGAGCUAAUACCGGAUGAUAUUUUGAACCGCAUGGUUCAAAAGUGAAAGACGGUCUUGCUGUCACUUAUAGAUGGAUCCGCGCUGCAUUAGCUAGUUGGUAAGGUAACGGCUUACCAAGGCAACGAUGCAUAGCCGACCUGAGAGGGUGAUCGGCCACACGGGAACUGAGACACGGUCCAGACUCCUACGGGAGGCAGCAGUAGGGAAUCUUCCGCAAUGGGCGAAAGCCUGACGGAGCAACGCCGCGGGAGUGAUGAAGGUCUUCGGAUCGUAAAACUCUGUUAUUAGGGAAGAACAUAUGUGUAAGUAACUGUGCACAACGUGACGGUACCUAAUCAGAAAGCCACGGCUAACUACGUG
rnacentral:rRNA from 1 species